rnacentral:scRNA from 1 species
UUGGAUCUGUGGGGGUGAUGGCGUGACGAUAU